UGCGGGUACAAUUUUUAAAGCCCAUGGUACAACCAUGGGCUGCUGUGUUCGUCCCCUUACGGGGCUUCUAUAUAAUAGAUAUGAAAUGACAAAUACACCCCUUUCUAGUUCUUGUAAAUAACACUCCCAAAACCCUCUUUCUAGUAAAUAUACGUCGUAGUAAUAUUUUAGUAAAGCUGAAAACAUUAAAUAAAAGAUUCCCAUUACUAUAAUACAUCUGACUCGCACAUUCGGUUCCCUGAGUCAACUCGCGGCCAUGCUGGACCACCAAGGAAGCAGCAAAAAAGGCCCUUUUCUCCUCGACUACAACGCCGAGGAACUCCAAAUCGCAGCUGAGUUUCUAACUAAUUGGCUGCCCUUUCUGUCCCGUGACCUUUGCCACAGCUGUACCCAUACGCUUUCCAUCGUAUCCGUACACUCGGCCGUGUUCAGGACUUUAGUGGGGACUGGGUGUGGAAGCAUGAGUAACUAAUGUUGGCUAUGAUACUAUAUGAAAGAACUUGCACAUCUAAUUGAAGAACUCAACACAAUAUGUGGAGACCAACACCC